UGGGAAUUUGGACAAUGGGCGCAAGCCUGAUGCAGCCAUGCCGCGUGUGUGAAGAAGGCCUUCGGGUUGUAAAGCACUUUCAGCGAGGAGGAAGGUGGUGGACUUAAUACGUUCAUCAAUUGACGUUACUCGCAGAAGAAGCACCGGCUAACUCCGUGCCAGCAGCCGCGGUAAUACGGAGGGUGCAAGCGUUAAUCGGAAUUACUGGGCGUAAAGCGCACGCAGGCGGUUUGUUAAGUCAGAUGUGAAAUCCCCGGGCUCAACCUGGGAACUGCAUUUGAAACUGGCAAGCUAGAGUCUCGUAGAGGGGGGUAGAAUUCCAGGUGUAGCGGUGAAAUGCGUAGAGAUCUGGAGGAAUACCGGUGGCGAAGGCGGCCCCCUGGACGAAGACUGACGCUCAGGUGCGAAAGCGUGGGGAGCAAACAGAUUAGAUACCCUGGUAGUCCACGCUGUAAACGAUGUCGAUUUUGGAGGUUGUGCCCCUUGAGGCGUGGCUUCCUGAGCUAACGCGUUAAA
rnacentral:rRNA from 1 species